rnacentral:lncRNA from 1 species
AAAUCUUUGUAAUUCUGCUGGGAUCCACAUGCCCAGGCUUAUGGGAAGAACAGAUACUCUUUCUAGAGGAGGAUUCUUCCUCAAAUUUCAUGGCAGGAUGGUACUUGAAUCUUGCUGUCUGCCUUGCAGCCACAAAAUACUGUUAGCACGGGCUCAGAAGAGAUGCAGGGGAGAUCAGCCCAGGCCAAGAAAUGAAACGUGAUUAUGUGGUUUUGAAACAAUUAUGCCAGAGGACCAGACACCUUUGCAUCUGGAUUUGCAGACGUCUUUGGCCAAGUUAGAUGACGAGAGGCAAGUAGAUCACUAUGCUGGUAUUUAUCUGAA